AUUGAACGCUGGCGGCAGGCCUAACACAUGCAAGUCGAACGGUAACAUUUCUAGCUUGCUAGAAGAUGACGAGUGGCGGACGGGUGAGUAAUGCUUGGGAACUUGCCUUUGCGAGGGGGAUAACAGUUGGAAACGACUGCUAAUACCGCAUAAUGUCUUCGGACCAAACGGGGCUUCGGCUCCGGCGCAAAGAGAGGCCCAAGUGAGAUUAGCUAGUUGGUAAGGUAACGGCUUACCAAGGCGACGAUCUCUAGCUGUUCUGAGAGGAAGAUCAGCCACACUGGGACUGAGACACGGCCCAGACUCCUACGGGAGGCAGCAGUGGGGAAUAUUGCACAAUGGGGGAAACCCUGAUGCAGCCAUGCCGCGUGUGUGAAGAAGGCCUUCGGGUUGUAAAGCACUUUCAGUUGUGAGGAAAAGUUAGUAGUUAAUACCUGCUAGCCGUGACGUUAACAACAGAAGAAGCACCGGCUAACUCCGUGCCAGCCGCCGCCGUAACAC
rnacentral:rRNA from 1 species